UACGGAGGGUGCAAGCGUUAAUCGGAAUUACUGGGCGUAAAGCGCACGCAGGCGGUCUGUCAAGUCGGAUGUGAAAUCCCCGGGCUCAACCUGGGAACUGCAUUCGAAACUGGCAGGCUAGAGUCUUGUAGAGGGGGGUAGAAUUCCAGGUGUAGCGGUGAAAUGCGUAGAGAUCUGGAGGAAUACCGGUGGCGAAGGCGGCCCCCUGGACAAAGACUGACGCUCAGGUGCGAAAACGUGGGGAGCAAACAGG
rnacentral:rRNA from 1 species